rnacentral:sRNA from 1 species
CCCUAGCCCCGAUAGCAGUGAAAAUCCUUUUACUUUUUUCUUUAAAAAGUAAAAGAUUGAAACGUAUAACGGGAAAUUGC